rnacentral:miRNA from 1 species
AGCUCAACGAUAAAGAACAAU